UUGAACGCUGGCGGCAGGCCUAACACAUGCAAGUCGAACGGUAACAGGAAACAGCUUGCUGUUUCGCUGACGAGUGGCGGACGGGUGAGUAAUGUCUGGGAAACUGCCUGAUGGAGGGGGAUAACUACUGGAAACGGUAGCUAAUACCGCAUAACGUCGCAAGACCAAAGAGGGGGACCUUCGGGCCUCUUGCCAUCGGAUGUGCCCAGAUGGGAUUAGCUAGUAGGUGGGGUAACGGCUCACCUAGGCGACGAUCCCUAGCUGGUCUGAGAGGAUGACCAGCCACACUGGAACUGAGACACGGUCCAGACUCCUACGGGAGGCAGCAGUGGGGAAUAUUGCACAAUGGGCGCAAGCCUGAUGCAGCCAUGCCGCGUGUAUGGAGAAGGCCUUCGGGUUGUAAAGUACUUUCAGCGGGGAGGAAGGGAGUAAAGUUAAUACCUUUGCUCAUUGACGUUACCCGCAGAAGAAGCACCGGCUAACUCCGUGCCAGCAGCCGCGGUAAUACGGAGGGUGCAAGCGUUAAUCGGAAUUACUGGGCGUAAAGCGCACGCAGGCGGUUUGUUAAGUCAGAUGUGAAAUCCCCGGGCUCAACCUGGGAACUGCAUCUGAUACUGGCAAGCUUGAGUCUCGUAGAGGGGGGUAGAAUUCCAGGUGUAGCGGUGAAAUGCGUAGAGAUCUGGAGGAAUACCGGUGGCGAAGGCGGCCCCCUGGACGAAGACUGACGCUCAGGUGCGAAAGCGUGGGGAGCAAGCAGGAUUAGAUACCCUGGUAGUCCACGCCGUAAACGAUGUCGACUUGGAGGUUGUGCCCUUGAGGCGUGGCUUCCGGAGCUAACGCGUUAAGUCGACCGCCUGGGGAGUACGGCCGCAAGGUUAAAACUCAAAUGAAUUGACGGGGGCCCGCACAAGCGGUGGAGCAUGUGGUUUAAUUCGAUGCAACGCGAAGAACCUUACCUGGUCUUGACAUCCACGGAAGUUUUCAGAGAUGAGAAUGUGCCUUCGGGAACCGUGAGACAGGUGCUGCAUGGCUGUCGUCAGCUCGUGUUGUGAAAUGUUGGGUUAAGUCCCGCAACGAGCGCAACCCUUAUCCUUUGUUGCCAGCGGUCCGGCCGGGAACUCAAAGGAGACUGCCAGUGAUAAACUGGAGGAAGGUGGGGAUGACGUCAAGUCAUCAUGGCCCUUACGACCAGGGCUACACACGUGCUACAAUGGCGCAUACAAAGAGAAGCGACCUCGCGAGAGCAAGCGGACCUCAUAAAGUGCGUCGUAGUCCGGAUUGGAGUCUGCAACUCGACUCCAUGAAGUCGGAAUCGCUAGUAAUCGUGGAUCAGAAUGCCACGGUGAAUACGUUCCCGGGCCUUGUACACACCGCCCGUCACACCAUGGGAGUGGGUUGCAAAAGAAGUAGGUAGCUUAACCUUCGGGAGGGCGCUUACCACUUUGUGAUUCAUGACUGGGGUG
rnacentral:rRNA from 1 species